GACCACAUGGAAUAGUGGUUUGUGUAUUGGACUACAACUCUGGAGACCAGGGUUUGAUUCCCCGCUCGGCCA